rnacentral:rRNA from 1 species
CACGUAGGGCGCAAGCGUUGUCCGGAAUUAUUGGGCGUAAAGAGCUCGUAGGCGGUCUGUUGCGUCCGCUGUGGAAACUCGGGGCUUAACCCCGAGCCUGCAGUGGAUACGGGCAGACUAGAGGUAGGUAGGGGAGAAUGGAAUUCCCGGUGUAGCGGUGAAAUGCGCAGAUAUCGGGAGGAACACCGGUGGCGAAGGCGGUUCUCUGGGCCUUACCUGACGCUGAGGUGCGAAAGCGUGGGGAGCAAACAGG